GGAGGUAGUGACAAUAAAUCACAAUGCGGGACUGUUAGUCUUGCAAUUGGAUUGAGAACAACGUACAACUCUUAUCGAUAAGCCAUUGGAGGGCAAGUCUGGUGCCAGCAGCCGCGGUAAUUCCAGCUCCAAUAGCGUAUAUUAACGUUGUUGCAGUUAAAAAGCUCGUAGUUGAAGUGAGGGAGUGUGUGGGCAUGAGGGCUAGUCUCGAGUGCUUACAACCUCCCCCUUCCAAUGGGUGUAGUGGGGUAUUCACUUAUUUCACUACUCCUUUGGUCGUUUACUGUGAGAAAAUUAGAGUGUUCAAAGCGGGCGUUUGUUUGAAUAGAUUAGCAUGGAAUAAUGAUUGAAGGCUUUCGUGUUCGAUUUGAUUGGUUUGUUCAUGGAAGCAAGGUUAAAAGGAACAGUUGGGGGUAUUCAUAUUCACUAGUUAGAGGUGAAAUUCUCGGAUUUAUGGAAGAUGAACAAGUGCGAAAGCA
rnacentral:rRNA from 1 species